rnacentral:rRNA from 1 species
GAUGAACGCUGGCGGCGUGCCUAAUACAUGCAAGUAGAACGCUGAAGCUUGGUGCUUGCACCGAGCGGAUGAGUUGCGAACGGGUGAGUAACGCGUAGGUAACCUGCCUCUUAGCGGGGGAUAACUAUUGGAAACGAUAGCUAAUACCGCAUAAAAGUCGAUAUCGCAUGAUAUUGAUUUGAAAGGUGCAAAUGCAUCACUAAGAGAUGGACCUGCGUUGUAUUAGCUAGUUGGUGAAGUAACGGCUCACCAAGGCGACGAUACAUAACCGAACUGAGAGGGUGAACCGCCAAAAUGGGACUGAGACACGGGCCAGGCUCCUACGGGGGGCAACAGUAGGGAAUCUUCGGCAAUGGGGGCAACCCUGACCGAGCAACGCCGCGUGAGUGAAGGAGGUUUUCGGGUCGUAAAGCUCUGUUGUAAGAGAAGAAAGAGUGUGGGAGUUGAAAGUUCACACUGUGACGGUAACUUACCAGAAAGGGACGGCUAACUACGUG